GGGGAUGUAGCUCAGUGGCAGAGCAUUUGUCUAGCAUGCACAAGGCCCUGGGUUCAAGCCCCAAUACCA
rnacentral:tRNA from 1 species